rnacentral:rRNA from 1 species
AUUGAACGCUGGCGGCAGGCCUAACACAUGCAAGUCGAACGAGCGGCGGACGGGUGAGUAAUGUCUGGGAAACUGCCUGAUGGAGGGGGAUAACUACUGGAAACGGUGGCUAAUACCGCAUACUAUCAGAUGAACCCAUAUGGGAUUAGCUGGUGGGUGGGGUAAAGGCUCACCAAGGCGACGAUCCCUAGCUGGUCUGAGAGGAUGAUCAGCCACACUGGGACAGAGACAAGGGCCAGACUCCUACGGGAGGCAGCAGUGGGGAAUAUUGCACAAUGGGCGCAAGCCUGAUGCAGCCAUGCCGCGUGUAUGAAGAAGGCCUUAGGGGUGUAAAGUACUUUCAGCGGGGAGGCGUUACCCGCAGAAGAAGCACCGGCUAACUCCGUGCCAGCAGCCGCGGUAAUUC